rnacentral:snoRNA from 1 species
AAGGUUGAUGAAGAAGACGUUGUUUCUCACAUCCUCGCUCUACUUGAUGUGGAGUUCGACCUAGUGGUCUCGUCCAUGUGCUCCAGGGUCGAGCAGGUCACGGUUAAGGACCUAUAUAUACAAGUGGUGAGCUUCGAGA